rnacentral:misc_RNA from 1 species
GUGAAUCAUCAAAUUUUUGAACGCAAAUUGCACUCUCCUCUGUGAGUAUGCCUGUUUCAGUGUCAGCCUCUAUAAAUCGACAUCGUUGCUGUUUCGCGGUGGCGUUUGUCGGAAAUUGGGUCAUCUUAAAUCCUUUUUUUUUAAUCGACUUAACAUUUUCUUUUGUUUCCAUGCUCGUUUCUAAGCUUUAUUUCUUUACACGUUUAUUGUAUCGAUUUUUCUUAGUCGUGCCCAUCAUAUCCGCUCGCGUCCAUAAUCUUUC